GCGCCAGAAGCCGAAGUGGUCGAGGCACUUGCUUGUGGAGCAAGUCAUUAGCGGGUUCAAGUCCCGUCUGGCGCCCA
rnacentral:tRNA from 1 species